rnacentral:lncRNA from 1 species
UACUUUCACAAACCUGUUAGCUUUGUAGCAGAGAUGUCUACUUAAUAGUACCUAUACCCUUAUAAGUUCAGGGGUUUGCAGAGUGAUUCCCUAAGAGUGUUUGUGUCAAUUACGAGAAACACUGUUAUAAACCUUUUCUGAAUACAGAACAUGAUACUGUAGCUAUUACAUGGGUUCUAUGCUUUUAUUCACAGGUGUAGAUUUAAGUCUGUAUUUUUGGUAAGAGGAGAUCAAGCAUUUUUAUAUUUGCCACACAGUAAGGAUAUAUGCAUCUCUGGACCGAGUCAUUUUCAUUUACCUGUCUUUAUUUUUCUUCCGACUCUGUCUCAAACAAACAGAAAACCAAAAAUACCUACCAUAGUGUUACAGUUGCCUACAGUAUUCAUACAGUAGCAUGCUGUACAAGUUUGCAGCCCAGGAGCAACAGGCUUUACCAUACAGCCCAGGUGUGUAGAGGGCUAUAUCAUCUAGGUUUGUAUAAGGACAUUCUAUGAUGAAAUUGCCUAAUGAUGCAUUCUUCAGAAUGUAUCCCUGUCAUUAAACUACACAUGACUCUGUGUGUGUGUGUGUGUGUGUGUGUGUGUGUGUGUGUGUGUGUAUUUCAUCAGACAUGUCUUCCCUAGGUUAGCUAAUCUGG